rnacentral:snoRNA from 1 species
UACAACUACAUGGGAGAGCAACCUGGAGAGACUUUGACAGCUCAGGUCAAUCCCAAAGCUGUGAUUGCCACUCAUUUUUCU